CGGGACGGGUGAGUAACGCGUGGAUAACCUGCCUCACACUGGGGGAUAACAGUUAGAAAUGGCUGCUAAUACCGCAUAAGCGCACAGUACCGCAUGGUACGGUGUGAAAAACCCAGGUGGUGUGAGAUGGAUCCGCGUCUGAUUAGCCAGUUGGCGGGGUAACGGCCCGCCAAAGCGACGAUCAGUAGCCGACCUGAGAGGGUGACCGGCCACAUUGGGACUGAGACACGGCCCAA
rnacentral:rRNA from 1 species